CCUUUAGCUCAACAGGUAAGAGCAGCGGACUCAUAAUCCGAAGGUUGCAGGUUCAAGCCCUGCAAGGCC
rnacentral:tRNA from 1 species